CGGACGGGUGAGUAACACGUGGAUAACCUACCUAUAAGACUGGGAUAACUUCGGGAAACCGGAGCUAAUACCGGAUAAUAUUUUGAACCGCAUGGUUCAAAAGUGAAAGACGGUCUUGCGGUGUCACUUAUAGAUGGAUCCGCGCUGCAUUAGCUAGUUGGUAAGGUAACGGCUUACCAAGGCAACGAUGCAUAGCCGACCUGAGAGGGUGAUCGGCCACACUGGAACUGAGACACGGCCCAG
rnacentral:rRNA from 1 species